AUAAGUGACUAGGGGUGCCCGGAAAUGCGGGCUGAGAGAGAAGACAAGCUUCUUAACCCUUUGGACCUGAUCUGGCUCGUACCAGCGUGGGGAAGUUGAAGAUGAUACAU
rnacentral:ncRNA from 3 species